rnacentral:rRNA from 1 species
GUGUCAGCCGCCGCGGUAAUACGGGGGGAGCGAGCGUUGUCCGGAAUCACUGAGCUUAAAGGGCGCGUAGGCGGAACGGCAAGUGUCUUGUGAAAUCCCCCGGCUUAACCGGGGAAUGGCUGGGCAAACUGCCGUUCUUGAGGCAAGCAGGGGUGCGCGGAACUCUUGGUGGAGCGGUGGAAUGCGUAGAUAUCAAGAGGAACGCCGAUGGUGAAGACAGCGCACUGGGCUUGUCCUGACGCUGAGGCGCGAAAGCGUGGGGAGCAAACAGGAUUAGAUACCCUGGUAGUCCACGCCCUAAACGAUGCCUACUAGGUUGGGGAGGUUCUGACGCCUUCGCAGCCGAAGCAAAAGUGUUAAGUAGGCCGCCUGGGGAGUACGGUCGCAAGGCUAAAACUUAAAGGAAUUGACGGGG